CGUCCGCCACGUGGUGGCGGCGGCACGGGCGCGCUCCAGCUGUGCCCGGAUCGCGGGCUCGUCGGCCAGCAGCGGGAUCAUCGUCUCGUACAGCCGC
rnacentral:tRNA from 1 species